CCUACGGGAGGCUGCAGUGAGGAAUAUUGGUCAAUGGGCGCGAGCCUGAACCAGCCAAGUAGCGUGAAGGAUGACGGCCCUACGGGUGGUAAACUUCUUUUAUAAAGGAAUAAAGUGAGGCACGUGUGCCUUUUUGGAUGUACGUUAUGAAUAAGGAUCGGCUAACGCCGUGCCAGCAGCCGCGGUAAUACGGAGGAUCCGAGCGUUAUCCGGAUUGAUUGGGUUGAAAGGGAGCGGAGAUGGGUUGUUAAGUCAGUUUUGAAAGUUUGCGGCUCAACCGUAAAAUUGCAAUUGAUACUGGCAGCCUUGCGUACAGUUGCGGUAGGCGGCAUUCGUGUUGUAGCGG
rnacentral:rRNA from 1 species